rnacentral:rRNA from 1 species
GAGUUUGAUCAUGGCUCAGGGUGAACGCUGGCGGCGUGCUUAAGACAUGCAAGUCGAACGGUCCCUUCGGGGAUAGUGGCGCACGGGUGAGUAACGCGUAACUGACCUACCCCAAAGUCGCGGAUAACGAUUCGAAAGAAUCGCUAAUACGUGAUGUGCUGUCAGAUUGUGUUCUGCCAGUAAAGAUUUAUUGCUUUGGGAUGGGGUUGCGUUCCAUCAGCUAGUUGGUGGGGUAAAGGCCUACCAAGGCGACGACGGAUAGCCGGCCUGAGAGGGUGGCCGGCCACAGGGGCACUGAGACACGGGUCCCACUCCUACGGGAGGCAGCAGUUAGGAAUCUUCCACAAUGGGCGAAAGCCUGAUGGAGCGACGCCGCGUGAGGGACGAAGGUCUUCGGAUUGUAAACCUCUGAAUCAGGGACGAAAGACGCGUAAGCGGGAUGACGGUACCUGAGUAAUAGCACCGGCUAACUCCGUGCCAGCCGCCGCCGUAAC